rnacentral:rRNA from 1 species
AUUGAACGCUGGCGGCAGGCCUAACACAUGCAAGUCGAGCGAGCGGCGGACGGGUGAGUCAUGUCUGGGAAACUGCCUGAUGGAGGGGGAUAACUACUGGAAACGGUAGCUAAUACCGCAUCCCAUCAGAUGUGCAACGAUGGGAUUAGCUAGUAGGGGGGGUAACGGCUCACCUAGGCGCCGAUCCCUAGCUGGUCUGAGGGGAUGACCAGCCACACUGGAACUGAGACACGGGCCAGACUCCGACGGGAGGCAGCAGUGGGGAAUAUUGCACAAUGGGCGCAAGCCUGAUGCAGCCAUGCCGCGGGUGUGAAGAAGGCCUUCGGGUUGUAAAGCACUUUCAGCGGGGAGGCGUUACCCGCAGAAGAAGCACCGGCUAACUCCGUGCCAGCAGCCGCGGUAAUUC